rnacentral:rRNA from 1 species
CUACGGGUCGCUGCAGUGGGGAAUAUUGCACAAUGGGCGCAAGCCUGAUGCAGCCAUGCCGCGUGUAUGAAGAAGGCCUUCGGGUUGUAAAGUACUUUCAGCGGGGAGGAAGGGAGUAAAGUUAAUACCUUUGCUCAUUGACGUUACCCGCAGAAGAAGCACCGGCUAACUCCGUGCCAGCAGCCGCGGUAAUACGGAGGGUGCAAGCGUUGAUCGGAAUUACUGGGCGUAAAGCGCACGCAGGCGGUUUGUUAAGUCAGAUGUGAAAUCCCCGGGCUCAACCUGGGAACUGCAUCUGAUACUGGUAAGCUUGAGUGUCGUAGAGGGGGGUAGAAUUCCAGGUGUAGCGGUGAAAUGCGUAGAGAUCUGGAGGAAUACCGGUGGCGAAGGCGGCCCCCUGGACGAAGACUGACGCUCAGGUGCGAAAGCGUGGGGAGCAAACAGGAUUAGAUACCCGUGUAGUC